rnacentral:rRNA from 1 species
AAAGGGGCUUCGGCUCCGAGUAAAGUGGCGCACGGGUGAGUAAUACGUGGGUAACCUGCCUCUAAGACCGGGACAACUUGUCGAAAGACGAGCUAAUACCGGAUAAGACCACAGUUCCCGAGGGGACAGAGGUCAAAGGUAGCCUCUAUUUAUACGCAAUCGCUUAGAGAUGGGCCCGCGCACCAUUAGCUAGUUGGUGGGGUAAUGGCCCACCAAGGCAAAGAUGGUUAGCUGGUCUGAGAGGAUGAUCAGCCACACUGGAACUGAGACACGGUCCAGACUCCUACGGGAGGCAGCAGUGGGGAAUAUUGCGCAAUGGGCGAAAGCCUGACGCAGCAACGCCGCGUGAGUGAUGAAGGCCCUCGGG